rnacentral:rRNA from 1 species
GUGGGGAAUAUUGGACAAUGGGCGCAAGCCUGAUCCAGCCAUACCGCGUGGGUGAAGAAGGCCUUCGGGUUGUAAAGCCCUUUUGUUGGGAAAGAAAUCCAGCUGGUUAAUACCCGGUUGGGAUGACGGUACCCAAAGAAUAAGCACCGGCUAACUUCGUGCCAGCAGCCGCGGUAAUACGAAGGGUGCAAGCGUUACUCGGAAUUACUGGGCGUAAAGCGUGCGUAGGUGGUCGUUUAAGUCCGUUGUGAAAGCCCUGGGCUCAACCUGGGAACUGCAGUGGAUACUGGGCGACUAGAGUGUGGUAGAGGGUAGCGGAAUUCCUGGUGUAGCAGUGAAAUGCGUAGAGAUCAGGAGGAACAUCCAUGGCGAAGGCAGCUACCUGGACCAACACUGACACUGAGGCACGAAAGCGUGGGGAGCAAACAGG